rnacentral:rRNA from 1 species
UACGGGGGGAGCAAGCGUUGUUCGGAUUUACUGGGCGUAAAGGGCGCGUAGGCGGCCACCGCAAGUCGACUGUGAAAUCUCCGGGCUUAACCCGGAAAGGUCAGCCGAUACUGCGGGGCUAGAGUGCAGAAGGGGCAACUGGAAUUCUCGGUGUAGCGGUGAAAUGCGUAGAUAUCGAGAGGAACACCUGCGGCGAAGGCGGGUUGCUGGCUGAUACUGACGCUGAGGCGCGAAAGCCAGGGGAGCGAACGGG